GGGAAAGCAAAGGCGCCUGCCUACAUUAUUGUACUAGGGAGCAGUGGUGGAAGCUUAUCUCACUAGCAACAUAAACAUCAGGGAUAAACUGGCGUGGAGCCCGUUCAUCGAUGCACACGAACGGAUCCAUUCGGAUUGGCUGCAGCCACUGCGAGCGGACACAUCAAAACGGAUCGCGACUCACCCGAUUAUUUUCUUCCAGCUUUGCAGCGCUUGAUCGACUAGGUGAUGUGGUAACGUUUUCGAGGCUUUGGAUUUCUUUGAUUUUCUGAGUUCCUCGACUUCGAGGCUAAUCUUCUCUUGUUUAGCGUUUAGGACGAUUUUAUUUCUUCGAGCUCGGGCUUUUAAAAGUGAUAAGUGUGCUUGUUUCGCGGGAUUUAAUGUCAAAGACAAAGACAUUUUUGGGA